GCAUAUCAAUAAGCGGAGGAAAAGAAACUAACAAGGAUUCCCCUAGUAACGGCGAGUGAAGCGGGAACAGCUCAAGCUUGAAAUCUGCACCUUGUAAAAAGGGUGCCGAGUUGUAGCUUUUGGAGGCACUAUUGAGUGGCUAAUCUUGGUAAGAGUCCUUUUGAAUAAGGCAUCAAAGAGGGUGAAAAUCCCGUAUUUGACCAGGAGUGUAAAUUAGCUGCGAUAUCAAGUGUUUUCUUUGAGUCGGGUUGUUUGGGAAUGCAGCCCUAAUUAGGAGGUAAAUUUCUUCUAAAGCUAAAUAUCAGCAAGAGACCGAUAGCAUACAAGUACCGUGAGGGAAAGAUGAAAAGCACUUUGAAAAGAGAGUGAAAAGUACGUGAAAUUGUUGGAAGGGAACCGGUUGAUGACCAAGCUUUUUUGGCUUCCUUUCGGGGGAGUUGGAGGGUCAACAUCGGUUGUUUUAUGGCUAGAAGGGAUUUGCGGGUUGACGGGGGAAAGGUAGUAAGCGUGUUGGGUAUUUAUACCUAGUGCGUUUAUGUUAUAGACCCCCACAGGCCCGCUUCAAAAGCUCUAUAGUUGUAGCGACCGAGGAAUGCAGUGUGUUUUUAUCCCUCGGGAUUUAGGGCGGUUUGUAGGGAUGCAUUUGUGGGGUUAUCUUUGGGGCUAGACAGCUUUGCUGACUAGUUCUGGUGCUCCAUAUGUACGCCUUGCAAGCUGACCAAGAAGCACUUUGGAUGUUGGCGAAAAGGCAUCAAUCGACCCGUCUUGAAACACGGACC
rnacentral:rRNA from 1 species